rnacentral:rRNA from 1 species
AUUGAACGCUGGCGGCAUGCUUUACACAUGCAAGUCGAACGGUAACAGGCCUUCGGGUGCUGACGAGUGGCGAACGGGUGAGUAAUGCAUCGGAACGUACCCAGAGGUGGGGGAUAACGCAGCGAAAGCUGUGCUAAUACCGCAUGUGAUCUGAGGAUGAAAUCGGGGGACCGAGCAGCAAUGUUUGGCCUCGCGCCUUUGGAGCGGCCGAUGUCGGAUUAGCUAGUUGGUGGGGUAAAGGCCUACCAAGGCGACGAUCCGUAGCUGGUCUGAGAGGACGACCAGCCACACUGGGACUGAGACACGGCCCAGACUCCUACGGGAGGCAGCAGUGGGGAAUUUUGGACCAGGGGCGCAAGCCUGAUCCAGCAAUGCCGCGUGCGGGAAGAAGGCCUUCGGGUUGUAAACCGCUUUUGGCAGGAACGAAACGGUGUCCGCUAAUACCGGGCGCUAAUGACGGUACCUGCAGAAUAAGCACCGGCUAACUACGUG